GAAAUGCCCCUUCACUGGAACUGUCUCGGUCAGGGGACGUAUUUUAGCUGGAACUUGUCAUAGUGCUAAGAUGGUUAGGACCAUAAUUGUCAGGAGGAACUACUUACAUUAUGUUAAGAAGUAUCAGAGGUAUGAGAAAAGGCACUCCAACAUUCCUGCUCACAUAUCUCCUUGCUUUCGUGUGAAGGAGGGAGAUCAUGUUAUUAUUGGC
rnacentral:misc_RNA from 1 species